GAAUCCCGUCUUUGACACGGACUGCCUGCAUGUUAUGGUGCGCUCUCAAAGAGUCGAGUUGUUUGGGAAUGCAGCUCAAAAUGGGUGGUAAAUGCCAUCUAAAGCUAAAUAUUGGCGAGAGACCGAUAGCGAACAAGUACCGUGAGGGAAAGAUGAAAAGAACUUUGGAAAGAGAGUUAAACAGUACGUGAAAUUGCUGAAAGGGAAACGCUUGAAGUCAGUCGCGUCAGCUAGAAAUCAACCUUGCUUUUGCUUGGUGUACUUUCUUGUUUGAUGGGUCAGCAUCAAUUUUGACCGUUGGAUAAAGUCGUUGGGAAUGUGGCAUCUUAGGAUGUGUUAUAGCCCAUCGUCGCAUACAGCGGUUGGGAUUGAGGAACUCAGCACGCCCUUCUGGGGACGGGUUUCGACCACGUUUCGUGCUUAGGAUGCUGGCAUAAUGGCUUUAAUCGACCCGUCUUGAAACACGGACCAAGGAGUCUAACAUGCCUGCGAGUGUUCGGGUGGAAAACCCGUGCGCGCAAUGAAAGUGAAAGUUGGGACCUCUGUCGUGGAGGGCACCGACGCCCGGACCAGACCUUCUGUGACGGUUCUGCGGUAGAGCAUGUAUGUUAGGACCCGAAAGAUGGUGAACUAUGCCUGAAUAGGGUGAAGCCAGAGGAAACUCUGGUGGAGGCUCGUAGCGAUUCUGACGUGCAAAUCGAUCGUCAAAUUUGGGUAUAGGGGCGAAAGACUAAUCGAACCAUCUAGUAGCUGGUUCCUGCC
rnacentral:rRNA from 1 species